GACGAACGCUGGCGGCGUGCUUAACACAUGCAAGUCGAACGGUGAAGCGCCUUCCUUUUUGGUGGGUGUGGAUGAGUGGCGAACGGGUGAGUAACACGUGAGUAACCUGCCCCCUUCUUCUGGAUAACCGCAUGAAAGUGUGGCUAAUACGGGAUAUUCUGGGUCUGUCGCAUGAUGGGUCGGGGAAAGAAAUUGUUUCGGUGGGGGAUGGGCUCGCGGCCUAUCAGCUUGUUGGUGGGGUGAUGGCCUACCAAGGCGGUGACGGGUAGCCGGCCUGAGAGGGUGGACGGUCACACUGGGACUGAGACACGGCCCAGACUCCUACGGGAGGCAGCAGUGGGGAAUAUUGCACAAUGGGCGCAAGCCUGAUGCAGCGACGCCGCGUGAGGGAUGGAGGCCUUCGGGUUGUGAACCUCUUUCGCCAGUGAAGCAGGCCUGCCUCGUUUGUGGGUGGGUUGACGGUAGCUGGAUAAGAAGCGCCGGCUAACUACGUG
rnacentral:rRNA from 1 species